UAGUAACUGCGAGUGAAGCGGGAAAAGCUCAAAUUUAAAAUCUGGCGGUCUUUGGCCGUCCGAGUUGUAGUCUGGAGAAGUGCUUUCCGCGCUGGACCGUGUAUAAGUCUCUUGGAACAGAGCGUCAUAGAGGGUGAGAAUCCCGUCUUUGACACGGACUACCAGUGCUUUGUGAUGCCCUCUCAAAGAGUCGAGUUGUCAGGGAAUGCAGCUCAAAAUGGGUGGUGAAUUCCAUCUAAAGCUAAAUACAGGCGAGAGACCGAUAGCGAACAAGUACCGUGAGGGAAAGAUGAAAAGCACGAAGGAAAGAGAGCUAAACAGUACGUGAAAUUGCCGAAAGGGAAACGCUUGAAAUCAGUCGCGUCUGCCGGAACUCAGCCUUCCUUUUGGUCGGCGCAUUUUCUGGUAGACGGGCCAGCAUCGAUUUUGACCGUCGGAAAAGGGCUGAAGAAAUGUGGCACCGUUUGAUGUGUUAUAGUCUUCAGUCGCAUACGGCGGUCGGGAUCGAGGAACGCAGCGCGCCGCAAGGCAGGGGUUCGCCCACUUUCGCGCUUAGGAUGCUGGCAUAAUGGCUUAAACGACCCGUCUGAA
rnacentral:rRNA from 1 species